UGAAGUCUUGACCAGCGAUUGCGUCAGAUUCCUGAUCCAGUUCCUGCAGGUUCCUCCCCUCUGGCUUCAGCCACCCAGGACUCCCGCCGCGCCCCCCGCCGACCCGAGCGCUGUGCGCCUUCGGGAGCGGCCCUGGCCUCUCUGGACGCCACCUGUCCCGCUCCGGUCCGGGGACAGGCUGGGGUGAGCGUCGUGGGCUUGAACGCGGGUUAGGAUUGGGGAGUAUGUUGCUCAGGCGGGUCCCCAAAUGCCACUCACCUUCUGGAGUGAGUAUCCGGACAGUCGUGCCGGGGGUGGGUUCUGAGUUCGAGUCCUCGAGGCUCUGGUUGGCAUGCAGCCGGCUCAGCAGGUUCUGGAAGCGACCUCGUAGCUCGUGAGCGUCGAGUCGGGACUCCGGGUGGGAACGUCGCUGUUCGGGCAGUGCCAGGGAGUCCCCGGGCGAUGGCCAUGACAGCAGCAGCAGGAGCAGCAGCAGGAACAGCAGGAACCUCAGCUGCGAGCAGCCUGGAGGAUGGGCCUCGGGCGUGGGCAGGGCCAUGUCGGUUGUGUCUUCUGUGUGGCUGUGAGCUGAGCCUUCUGCCAAAGCCGCCUUUAUAGUCCUGUACUCUGGCCGCCCCGCCCCCGCGUGCGGUGCCAACUCGGGUGACCAAGCUGAUCCGGGAGGGAACCCCGAGGACUGGGGGUGGGGGGACGGUCCCUCUCAGCACAAAGGGAAACCACAGGGUCUGGUGACAGUGAGGGCUGACCGUCCCCACGAAACAUGUGACGGGGGCCAGACUCACGUUAAAGUGGAUUCUUCCUUCCUCUCCCUCCCCCUUUCUCCCACUCUUCCUGCCGCCCCUCCCGGCCAUGACCAAAUGGCAGUAAUAGAAGGGCCAAGGCACAAACUGAGGCCACUGCACCUGCUCGGUGUCCUUUCCGCACUCCUACUAACCCUUCAAAACCCUGUGCAAACAGCCCCCGCUCCAGGCCGACUGGAUGGCCACACUCAGGUCCCUGAGUCUGUCUCUCCAGAUCAGUCUCCCCUCUCGUGGGGAGAGAAGCAAGGAGUCUACUGUGGGCCCCUCCUUCAUUCGGUCCAGACUGCAGGCCCCUGGGGAGCUGGAGGGUCAGGGCAGGGUGGUCAGGCUUGGACAGAAGAUGGAGGUGGGUGACGUCGCCUAGGCCUGCAGAGGGUGGCGGCUGCGGUUCGGGCCUCUGGAAUGACCCAGGAAUGAGCGACGAGGGGCACCUGCUGGGGUCUGCAGUACGCACAAGCUGCCGCGUGGCCUCUGUCCCAUAGGACACUCCAGGCUAUGACCGAUGCCCGCGUCCCUCUCCCUGCCUGUCCUGGUGCUCGCUUCGCAGGCCAGUGCUGGACCUGAGACCCCGCCCCCGCCCCAGGAGUUACCUGUCGGCUCCGGGACGAUUUACCCCAGUGGGCGUCUCUUCAGGAUGGAUACGGAGGGAGAUAGCCCCGACCUCAGGCUCGCAGCUGUGGAAGUUCUGAGGUCACUGUACCCCGUGGGAGAGGCAGCCUGGUGGGCACCCGGCAUGGGCGACUGGGGUUCUGGACUUAAAUUUUUGUCUCUGCUUUUCCCCCCAAAUUUAAGUCUCAAGAGUCCGGAUCUCUGCCCCGGGUGAGUCGCUGAUGUCUGGAGGAGGCCUGGGUCACACCGCAGUCCUGUUUCCCUUUCUGUGAAAGGCUGCAGAGUUCUCCAUCUUUGGGGUGCAAGGGAGGACUUGUGGAGUUGUGUGCACGCUACAAAUUGAAACACCAUCCAGUGUUCUCCGUGUGACCCUGGGCAAAUUGCUCAACUGUGCGUCCGAGUAAAGCCGGGGGUCCGAAGAGAGAGGCCUUUCUCACGGAUGGGGAAUCGAGGGCUGGAGGCCGUCCGGGGUCCUCUGGGGUACGGAUAGCUGUGUGGGGAGGAGGAGCCGCCGGGUUCACGCGCGGUUAUAGAGGUCCAGUCGGAGCUGACGCCUGAAAGUCGGCUCUGGCUCUUCAAGGAUGGUGGCAGGUGGGGAGAGGCCUGACGCUGGCACCGGGGAGGGGGACAGGCUCGUACGGCUGCCAUUAAAGUGGGUUCUUUGACUGA